rnacentral:rRNA from 1 species
UACGGGGGGAGCAAGCGUUGUUCGGAUUUACUGGGCGUAAAGGGCGCGUAGGCGGCCACCGCAAGUCGACUGUGAAAUCUCCGGGCUUAACCCGGAAAGGUCAGCCGAUACUGCGGGGCUAGAGUGCAGAAGGGGCAACUGGAAUUCUCGGUGUAGCGGUGGAAUGCGUAGAGAUCGGGAAGAAUACCUGUGGCGAAGGCGGCCAGCUGGGCCAGAUCCGACACUGAGGCGCGAAAGCGUGGGGAGCAAACAGG